rnacentral:snRNA from 9 species
AAACUUACCUGGCGUAGGAAUACCGUAAUCAUGCAGGCGGUUCCUCCAGGGUGAGGCUGCUCCAUUGCCCUGCGGAACGGUUGAUCCUUGCGAUUAUUUUUAUUUUCUAUAAGGUUCACUUCUACCAUAUGUGACUUGCACACACACACACUUUUUUUUCAGUACCCAUUCGUUGGUAG